rnacentral:rRNA from 1 species
GAUGAACGCUGGCGGCGUGCCUAAUACAUGCAAGUCGAGCGAACAGACGAGGAGCUUGCUCCUCUGACGUUAGCGGCGGACGGGUGAGUAACACGUGGAUAACCUACCUAUAAGACUGGGAUAACUUCGGGAAACCGGAGCUAAUACCGGAUAAUAUAUUGAACCGCAUGGUUCAAUAGUGAAAGACGGUUUUGCUGUCACUUAUAGAUGAAUCCGCGCCGCAUUAGCUAGUUGGUAAGGUAACGGCUUACCAAGGCAACGAUGCGUAGCCGACCUGAGAGGGUGAUCGGCCACCCUGGAACUGAGACACGGUCCAGACUCCUACGGGAGGCAGCAGUAGGGAAUCUUCCGCAAUGGGCGAAAGCCUGACGGAGCAACGCCGCGUGAGUGAUGAAGGUCUUCGGCUCGUAAAACUCUGUUAUUAGGGAAGAACAAAUGUGUAAGUAACUAUGCACGUCUUGACGGUACCUAAUCAGAAAGCCACGGCUAACUACGUG